AUUUUGUUUCAGAUGUGUUAAAUUCAAGAUGACCCACAGUUGCCUAUGGAAAUGUCUUGCAAGAAAUUAUCUAGCCAAACCUUGAGGUCAAGCUUGAAGAUAAAAGUCAUUGAUAUUGAUAUUUGAAUAACAACAUGGGAUGAGAUGAAAUGGCCUGGGGAAUUAGUAACAGUGAAAAAGAGGCUCUAAAUCCACCCUGGGAUGCUCAUACUUGGAAAUUUCCACAGAACAAAAGGGGUUACUAGAGUCAGAAGGAGUGGACAAUGAGGCAGGAGGGAAACAAGGAGACUAUGGAAUCAAGGAAGCAAAAAGAAGAGUGUUCCAAGGCGGGCUGACUAACUAAAUCAUUUGCUACCAUCAGUCAAAAUGAGGAUGGAUCUGCAUCCCAUUGGAGGAUUAGUCAGUGAUGACUACAGUAGAGUUUCAGUGGACUGGUGGAUGGAAAAGCAUGAUUGGGUUGAAUUAAUGAGGAAUGGCUUAGCUUGUCUUUCAAGAAAUUUAAUUAUGAAGGAAAGCAGAUAGACCAUUAUUUCAGAUAUACCAUUACUUAUGGUAGCUAGAAGGGACAUGGAGUCAAGGAAGGGUUUUACUUAG
rnacentral:lncRNA from 1 species